rnacentral:lncRNA from 1 species
GGCCAGUUGAGACCACCAACUCAUCAACUGGGCCUGUGUAGAUGUCCGAUAGGCGACCUUUCUAUAUCAAGAGGCAAAAGACUCCACCCUCAGAUCAGGCUAAUCCCACCAUUUUGUGAGCAUGCGUCCUAUGAAGAGGCAUGGAGUAUGACUACGCUUGCGCAGAUCAUCAAUUACCUCACGGCUCCUCACCUCCAAUCACCUGUCUCCACAUUUCAGACCACCUUGCCGCAACCCAGAAAUAUCCCUGAGUCCCCAUUUUCAGGGAAGUGGAUUUGAGACUCACGCUCUCACUUUCUCACAGACUGCCUUGUGAGUAAACCCUCUCUCUGCUGCAGUCUUGUCGUCUCGGUGUUUGGCUUUCCAGGCCGCAGGCAAAAACGAACUUGGUGUGGUAACAGCUAUGUGAGUGAAGAUUACUCCAGAUAAUUCCAGCCCCCGGAUGCUGAGUUGCUUCAAACUUUCAAGUCUUCCUGGCUGAGACCCUAGACAGGGGUGGAGCAGAGGCAAGGUUUGACGACUGUUGAUGAUAGAGAAAGGAGCUCAUGGAACUGAAAUUUUUCAAUAUCCUGCAAGGCCUUUCCUUGUCCAACUGAAGAAGAACACGACUUCAGUCAGUGGGUCUCAGCAGGUGCCACAGAAGAAGCACAUGCCAGCUGUGUGUUCUACAGCCUCGAGCUGUUCAAGAGAGUCAGCCAUCUGUCCCUCCACUAUAAGCCAGCAAGAGCACAGUCCUAACUCUUAUCAGAGAGCGCCACAUUUGGAAGAUGGACUUCCUGGGACAUUAAGGACAAACACACACUACGGAGCAGAGUCGCCUAAGCAUAAGUAAUACACAUAUUCUUUAAAAUAUUCUUAGUUAAAAGCCAAUCAUAAAUCAAUGCUUUGAACAAAACAUUUCCACUUAAAUUUGCAUGGAACAGCUUUAUAUUUAGACUUGAGGCUUUAUUUCUUUAAGAGGCAGUCUAUGACUAAAGAAAAAUUAUUUCAGGUGGUUUAUGCUUGGAGAGGUCUCAAGAUCCAUUGAUUUUCCUAGGGAUACACUCACCGAAAUAGAUGAGUUCCAGAAAAUCUCUUAAGGGUGUGCAACCCAAUUAAAUCUGGGCCACAUAGUCCUUCCUGAAGUAGAGCCAUAUUUUAAAAAUGCAGCCUGAUAGUCAAAUACAGUCAAAAGCAAGCAUCUGUGUUAAUACCACCUCAAUAUAGAGAUAGAAAUAUUCCACUCUCCAGGAGCCCCCUGUAUAUCCUUAAUUGAUUAUAAUUCCACUCAUCUAAAAAUAACCACUAUCCUGAAUUUUAUGCUAGUCAAUUACUUCUCUUUAUAGUUUUAAAUCUAUACAUACAUUUCUGAAAUAGCAUAGUUUAUUCUUUGCCUGCGGUGAAUCGUGUGUAUACACAUACAUAUGUAUAUAUGUACAUAUCUAUCUAUCUAUCUUGCUAUAGAUAUUCUUCAGUGUCUUGUUUCUUUCCCUCAGAUGUGGAUAUAGAUAUAGAUGCAGCUAUGAUUGGUAU